AUUGAACGCUGGCGGCAGGCCUAACACAUGCAAGUCGAGCGGAUGACGGGAGCUUGCUCCUUGAUUCAGCGGCGGACGGGUGAGUAAUGCCUAGGAGUCUGCCUGGUAGUGGGGGACAACGUUUCGAAAGGAACGCUAAUACCGCAUACGUCCUACGGGAGAAAGCAGGGGACCUUCGGGCCUUGCUCUAUCAGAUGAGCCUAGGUCGGAUUAGCUAGUUGGUGGGGUAAUGGCUCACCAAGGCGACGAUCCGUAACUGGUCUGAGAGGAUGAUCAGUCACACUGGAACUGAGACACGGUCCAGACUCCUACGGGAGGCAGCAGUGGGGAAUAUUGGACAAUGGGCGAAAGCCUGAUCCAGCCAUGCCGCGUGUGUGAAGAAGGUCUUCGGAUUGUAAAGCACUUUAAGUUGGGAGGAAGGGCAGUAAGUUAAUACCUUGCUGUCUUGACGUUACCGACAGAAUAAGCACCGGCUAACUCUGUGCCAGCAGCCGCGGUAA
rnacentral:rRNA from 1 species